CCUACGGGCGACAGCAGUAGGGAAUCUUCCACAAUGGGCGAAAGCCUGAUGGAGCAACGCCGCGUGGGUGAAGAAGGUCUUCGGAUCGUAAAACCCUGUUGUUAGAGAAGAAAGUGCGUGAGAGUAACUGUUCACGUUUCGACGGUAUCUAACCAGAAAGCCACGGCUAACUACGUGCCAGCAGCCGCGGUAAUACGGAGGUGGCAAGCGUUAUCCGGAUUUAUUGGGCGUAAAGGGAACGCAGGCGGUCUUUUAAGUCUGAUGUGAAAGCCUUCGGCUUAACCGGAGUAGUGCAUUGGAAACUGGGAGACGUGAGUGCAGAAGAGGAGAGUGGAACUCCAUGUGUAGCGGUGAAAUGCGUAGAUAUAUGGAAGAACACCAGUGGCGAAAGCGGCUCUCUGGGCUGUAACUGACGCUGAUGCACGAAAGCGUGGGUAUCAAACAGGAUUAGAUACCCCUGUAGUC
rnacentral:rRNA from 1 species